GUGCUCACUUCAGCAACACAUAUACUAAAAUUGGAAUGAUAGAAGAUUGUCAUGGCCCCUGCACAGGGAUGACAGGCAAAUUUGUGAAGUGUUCCAUGCUUCU
ensembl:snRNA U6 U6 spliceosomal RNA